rnacentral:rRNA from 1 species
GGUAGAGAAACCCCGGCUAACUCCGUGCCAGCAGCCGCGGUAAUACGGAGGGGGUUAGCGUUGUUCGGAAUUACUGGGCGUAAAGCGCACGUAGGCGGAUCAGAAAGUAUAGGGUGAAAUCCCAGGGCUCAACCCUGGAACUGCCUUGUAAACUCCUGAUCUUGAGUUCGAGAGAGGUGAGUGGAAUUCCGAGUGUAGAGGUGAAAUUCUUAGAUAUUCGGAGGAACACCAGUGGUCGAAGGCGGCUCACCGGCUCGAUACUGACGCUGAGGUGCGAAAGCGUGGGGAGCAAACAGGAUUAGAUACGCUGGUAGUCCACGCCGUAAACGAUGAAUGCCAGUCGUCGGGUAGCAUGCUAUUCGGUGAGACACCUAACGGAUUAAGCAUUCCGCCUGGGGAGUACGGUCGCAAGAUUAAAA